UACGGAGGAUGCGAGCGUUAUCCGGAUUUAUUGGGUUUAAAGGGUGCGUAGGCGGACUGUUAAGUCAGCGGUAAAAGCCCGGGGCUCAACCCCGGCGAGCCGUUGAAACUGGCUGUCUUGAGAUGUCGAGAGGUAAGUGGAAUUCCUAGUGUAGCGGUGAAAUGCAUAGAUAUCACGCAGAACUCCGAUUGCGAAGGCAGCAUACCGGCGCGCAACUGACGCUCAUGCACGAAAGCGUGGGUAUCGAACAGG
rnacentral:rRNA from 1 species